rnacentral:rRNA from 1 species
UACAGAGGUCUCAAGCGUUGUUCGGAUUCAUUGGGCGUAAAGGGUGCGUAGGUGGCGCGCUAAGUCGGGUGUGAAAUCCCGGGGCUUAACCUCGGGACUGCAUUCGAUACUGGCGUGCUUGAGGACUGGAGAGGAGACUGGAAUUUACGGUGUAGCAGUGAAAUGCGUAGAGAUCGUAAGGAAGACCAGUGGCGAAGGCGGGUCUCUGGACAGUUCCUGACACUGAGGCACGAAGGCCAGGGGAGCAAACGGG